UACGUAGGGGGCGAGCGUUGUCCGGAUUCAUUGGGCGUAAAGAGCUCGUAGGCGGCUCGGUAAGUCGUUUGUGAAAUCUCCAGGCUCAACUUGGAGCGUGCAGACGAUACUGCUGUGGCUUGAGUCCGGUAGGGGACCACGGAAUUCCUGGUGUAGCGGUGAAAUGCGCAGAUAUCAGGAGGAACACCGGUGGCGAAGGCGGUGGUCUGGGCCGGUACUGACGCUGAGGAGCGAAAGCGUGGGGAGCGAACAGGAUUAGAAACCCCAGUAGUCC
rnacentral:rRNA from 1 species